rnacentral:rRNA from 1 species
CGCGUAGGCGGCUUUAUAAGUCGGGGGUGAAAGCCUGUGGCUCAACCACAGAAUUGCCUUCGAUACUGUAGAGCUUGAGACCGGAAGAGGUAAGUGGAACUGCGAGUGUAGAGGUGAAAUUCGUAGAUAUUCGCAAGAACACCAGUGGCGAAGGCGGCUUACUGGUCCGGUUCUGACGCUGAGGCGCGAAAGCGUGGGGAGCAAACAG